rnacentral:lncRNA from 1 species
AGAGAAGCCAGGCUGCCUUCCUGGCCAGUGCGGCUUCCUCUACUUUUUUUUUUUUUUCCCUUCUUUUCAUCCCACGCAUCACAUAGGUUGGGCUCCCUAGGUUGGGGACCUGGCUUACUCGACGCUCAUCAUCAUAGGUCUGACACUUAGUCGAUGUAGCUAUCCCCACCUCAGGGCAACAAGACUCGGGCUGGCAGACAGACAGGGGAAGCCAACCUGCUUCCUGCCGUGCAUGGCAGGAUCCUGGCAAACGGCAUAUGGCAAAUGCUCACACAAAAUGUGCUGGCUUGAUCAGACCAAUAUGCUCCUGUCAAGAGCAGCAGAAGUCGUAGACUCAGGGUGCAUUCUAUCCAGGUUCCUAAACUGAGCUUGGAAAGAAGAGGAAAGAGCUGCAGAGGCAGAGACUCUGACCCCAAAGCGAUCGAGGGCCCUCCCCUGGCUUCCGUGUCCCUGUGGCAGGCGGUGGUGGUCGAAAUCUCUGCCCCUCAGAGUCCUGGGGAGGAUGGAUGGAACAGGAGGAGCAUCAUGAGAAGGCUUCCUGUAAACUAUGGAGGGCGAUCUGGCUCUUGUUUGGGCCUAAGGAAAAGCCGACUGUAAGCCGGGAAGCAUCUCUGGCAAGAACAAGGAAGGAUUAAGCACGUCUGUGGUUGUGCGCAGGGAUCACAAGUGCUCCUGCAGUGGGAAGAGCCACCACUAGGGGCGCUCCAAGUCUUGUAUUUUCUACCUUGAAAACUCGUUUCCCUGUGGCUGCCCUCCAAAUCCAACGGAGAUGAAUGGCUUUUAGUUUACCUAGCUGAUUUAAUAAACUUUAAAAAUAAAUGUACGUAUGACUUUCU